GCAGUUUCAAAUGAUUUAAAAAAGAAAGAGAAGUUUGAUCAUAAAAAAAACAGUGUCUCCCAAAUGAUGUGCGCUUUAAUUAUUGUAAAAUAUGACAGUAAUACCAAAACCAAUUUUUAAAAACCAAAUUAAAUAUUAAGUAAUAAAGAAGUUCAAGUAUCUCCUUCACCAAAAGCUAGGGAUGUACAACACUCACUUAUCGAUUAGUAGGUAAUCGACUGAUAAUUGGUAAUCGUAGCCUUACUUUAAAUUCCUUGUUAUUAAGCGAUGGUUUCUUAGCAUCUUUAAUAAGCUAAUAUCAGAAAUCACUAAUAAGAAAAAUAAUUAAAUGGAAUUAUUUUUUUAUCGCAGAAACAAUUAAAUAUUUAAAAGCAACCAAAAUGCUUAACUUAUCUUUUGAAGUUCAUGAAAAUUACAGAGUCAGAAGUCCCUAAGUGUGACUGGGCUUUUUUUUUGACAGGCUGAGCGGCUCUUGUUAAAUAUUUUUUUUGUGCAAAAAACUAAGAACAAGAGCUGCCCUCCUCGCAGAACUGCCAAAUAAACGGAAAGCCGGAAAUAAACAAAUUACUACUACUAAAUGCAUAUAAUGCUUUACUUAUUUAAUUAGAGUUAUUCUAAAUAUUGUUAUGUAUUCUUAAUUAUAGGCGAUUGUUAUUAUUUAAAGGUAGCUGCCACGCGCAGGCGGCUAUGAUAUAAACUUAUUUAUUUUCGAAAUUGUUCAUAUAUUAAUUUAUCUGCCCUCUGCGUCUGUGUUAUUAAAUCCUUUUCGCGUUGUCAGCCUGCAAAAAAAAUGUAUAAAAUUGUUAAUAAUUUGAAGUGUUAAUCUAUUAAACGUAUUUGUAUGGCCAUGUCGACAAGGAUAUCUUAAGAAGACGCCGAAAGUUCAACAGUGACCCAAGGCGAUGGCGAAUUCAGUAAAUGUUUGUGGCGACAUCUAUUCCUCAGAUGCUUCUGACCGAGCACAAGAAAUUCUACAUUGCCGUCAAGUUGCCAGAAUGCGAGUAAGCUUAACAUAGCCUACAAUAUUAUUGUAUUGUUGUACACUCCACAGAAGAUGAGACAAUUUGAAAUUUCCUAAUAUACACGGUUGAAAGAGCCCACGCUUGUGAUCUGUGUCGCAAAGGUCCUAUAGACGCCUAUAAGACGCCUGUAAGGCACGAAAAGUGCGCACCCUUGAAGCCUUGGAUAUGGAAACGACAGGACGUAUUGAGGAUGACGUUAUUGUUAUUAUAUGAUGGUUAUUGGCCUUUUGCUGUUGGCUUAGGCCUUGUACAAAUAGUCUCAGACUUAGUUUUUAUUUGAAAAUAUUUAAUAUGUUUUGUUCUAAAUAUUUUUUGACUCACAAAAUGAAAAAUAUAAGCGAAAUUAUUUUUGAAUGUGAGAUGUAAAUUAACGCUAAGAUGGUGUUGUAGGAAACUCUACCAAGUGUGGUAAAAUCACGAAAAAGGGUUGUAUAGUAGUCUGAUUGACUCAAUUUGAAAAUAUCUAAAUUAUAUAUCACAUUUAAAUGUCAGGUUCAUUGUAGUGCGGGUAGGUAUUAAUUUUCAACGUGCGGGUAUAGGCUGAAAAUUGAUAAUUUGUAAGCAAAGAAAAAAAAAAAAAAAAAAAAAAAAAAACGGCCAAAGUAAGUAAACUACUAAACUUGAUAGAUUCUGUUGAUAUUGUAUAAUUUAAGUGUACUAAACAUUGUAAUUGCAAACAGUA